UAUUGGGCAAUGCCCGCAAGGGUGACCCAGCAACGCCGCGUGGAGGAUGAAUGUCGUAAGAUUGUAAACUCCUGUUAGAGGGGAAGAAUAGUACCGGUUGGACCGGUAUAUGACUGUACCCUCAGAGAAAGCCCCGGCUAACUACGUGCCAGCAGCCGCGGUAAUACGUAGGGGGCAAGCGUUGUCCGGAUUUACUGGGUGUAUAGGGCGCGCAGGCGGGAUAAAAAGUCAGUGGUGAAAUCCUACAGCUUAACUGUAGAACUGCCUUUGAUACUUUUAUUCUUGAGUUCGGGAGAGAGAGACGGAAUGCCAGGUGUAGUGGUGAAAUACGUAGAUAUCUGGAAGAACACCAGUUGCGAAGGCGGUCUCUUGGUCCGACACUGACGCUGAGGCGCGAAAGCGUGGGGAGCAAACA
rnacentral:rRNA from 1 species